GUCUACGACCACACCACCAGUAAAAAACCGGUUCUCGUCUGAUCACCGAAGUUAAGCCUGGUCGGGCGAAGUUAGUACUUGGAUGGGUGACCGCCUGGGAAUACUUCGUGUUGUAGACU